rnacentral:rRNA from 1 species
GAUGAACGCUGGCGGCGUGCUUAACACAUGCAAGUCGAACGGAAAGGCCCAAGCUUGCUUGGGUACUCGAGUGGCGAACGGGUGAGUAACACGUGGGUGAUCUGCCCCGCACUUCGGGAUAAGCCUGGGAAACUGGGUCUAAUACCGGAUAGGACCACUUCUUGGAGGUUGUGGUGGGAAGUUUUUUCGGUGUGGGAUGAGCUCGCGGCCUAUCAGCUUGUUGGUGGGGUAAUGGCCUACCAAGGCGUCGACGGGUAGCCGGCCUGAGAGGGUGUACGGCCACAUUGGGACUGAGAUACGGCCCAGACUCCUACGGGAGGCAGCAGUGGGGAAUAUUGCACAAUGGGCGCAAGCCUGAUGCAGCGACGCCGCGUGGGGGAUGACGGCCUUCGGGUUGUAAACUCCUUUCGCUAGGGACGAAGCGCAAGUGACGGUACCUAGAGAAGAAGCACCGGCUAACUACGUG